CUGGCGUCAGGGGAAGCCCGGAGAGGGGCGGGGUGACGUGGCCCUUGUGAGGAGCCCCUGGGGUGUCCACGACCCCCAGGGGAGGAUCGCUACCGGCGACCCAAGUAACACGUGCCCACGCCCCCAACCCACGCCCCGCCAUGAACAUCGCCAAGCUGCGACACACGUUUAUGCGGUCUCGGACGCCCACGGGCGCCGAGAUGAAGCAACAGAACAGCUUGGAUGUUCCGCCGCAGAUCCGCUCUGCUUCAUUCGACGAGAUGCAGCUCAAGCCGGGACGGCGAGAGUCGUCGUCGUCGUCCUCGUCACCCGCGGAACGGCAGUCCUUUCUGCUCCGCGUGCCCUACCUCGGCCCAAAACGUUCCAAGAGUUUCGACUCUGGUUGUGGCGACGUCGACGACACCGACUCCUCGUCCCGCAAGAAGAACUCGCGUCCAUCCUCACUUGACAAGGCGAGCCACCAGUGCGUCCACUGUGUGUAUAUAGAAUCGCUGUCACGACGCUUUGGCUGUGAGGGCAGAAGAAUUCCCUACAACAUGUCACUUGACUUCGUGAGCAGUCUGGACAGCUCGCGUGAGGAGGUGGAGGACGAGGAGGACGAGGACUGGGACGAGGACAGCUCGAGUGACGAGCUGCACGAGGUGAUCUGUCGCAUCAAGGUAACGCUCAGUCCUAACUCACCGUCGUCGGCGUCGCCCACGCAGGAAGAAGCACCGACUAGCGUGGCCACGGCGCCGCGCAGUAAAACAGUCUCUCCUAAGUUGGAGCGUCAACCUGCCAUCUUCUGUAUGAACACGAGCACCGAGCUCAGUUCACAGGAGAACAGUUUUGAUUUAAGUGAUGGUGGAUAUAGCCACCACGGUUCCUUUCAGUACUUGGGUUCCUCUAGUGAGUACGGUGAUGGGGAGCAAAGUGGGGAGCAGGGAGGAGGGGAGCAGCAGCAGCAGCAGCAGCAGCAGCAGCAGCAGCAGCAGCAGCAGCAGCAGCAGCAGCUCCACCAGCAGCAGCUCCACCAGCAGCAGCGCGGGAGCAGCAGCAGGGAGGGGUUGGAGGGAAAGGAAGGGGUGACGGACGUGUUCCUGGAGGUGCCGUCUCGCAGGGACAGAGCCGCCUCCCUCGACUUUGCCUUCGCCAGCUUCCCCGACCCGGAGGAACUGCUCAAGUCCGUCACAGCGGGCCUCACGCGCUCAGUCUCCCUCGAACCUCCCAAGUCCCUCCGCUCCAAGAGUAUCGACAUCGAAUUACCAACUGAGGAAGAUGGUGACUACAAGGUUGUGGUGACCUCCCCCAAGACGGCCAAGAAGGCCAUCAACUCUGAGGUGGAGAUCCAGUGUGAGAAUGGCGAGCGUCGGGUCCUGCGCUCCACCUGCGACUGGAAUGAAGGAGCCAUCAACGGGGACCAUCUGUGGUGCCCAACCUCAGCCUCCGGCGACUUUUGCUACGUCGGCGAGGACAACUGCUGCAAAUCGGGGGCGCGGAUGAAAUGCUCAGCGUGUAAGAUCAUCGCCCACACCGGAUGCAUCGCUGCCCUGGUGGAGCGGGUCAAGUUCCCGUGUAAGCCAACCUUCCGAGACGUGGGCCCGCGACAAUACCGCGAGCAGACCGCCACCCACCACCACUGGGUGCACAGGCGGAGUCAGAAGGGCAAAUGUAAACAAUGCGGCAAGGGGUUCCAGUCGAAGCUGUUGUUUGGGUCCAAGGAGAUCGUGGCCAUUAGUUGUUCGUGGUGUAAGGCGGCUUACCACAACAAAGAGAGCUGCUUCAAUAUCAGCAAGAUCGAGGAAACUUGUUCCCUUGGGAUCCACACGAGCAUCAUAGUGCCGCCCUCCUGGAUCGUGAAGCUGCCUCGACGUGGAUCCUUCAAGUCCUCCCUCAGGAAGAGUCCUAAGAAGCGAGCAUCAACCAAGAGGAAGAACAGAGACAAGGAGGGCGAGGAUGGCAAGCAGAACGAGAAGGACACGCGACCCUUCGCCAUCAAGCCUAUCCCCAACGCCAACAUCAAACCCCUGAUCGUGUUCAUCAAUCCAAAGAGUGGUGGCAACCAGGGCGCCAAGCUGAUGCAGAAGUUCCAGUGGCUCCUUAACCCUAGGCAGGUCUUUGAUCUGACCCAGGGAGGACCUAAAGCAGGGUUAGAGAUGUUCCGGAAAGUGUCCAACCUGAGAGUGCUGGCGUGUGGCGGGGACGGCACCGUGGGGUGGGUCCUGUCCGUCCUCGACCAGCUCAACUUCCAACCUCCCCCCGCCGUAGCCGUCCUGCCCCUCGGCACCGGGAAUGAUCUUGCCCGUGCCCUUGGCUGGGGAGGCGGGUACACAGACGAACCCAUCAGCAAGAUCCUGUGUAACAUCGCCGACGGGGAGGUAGUUCACUUGGACCGCUGGCGUGUGGACGUUGUUAAGAAUGAGGAGUAUGAGCCCACAGAGGAAGGCAGGGACACCCUACCCCUCAGUGUUGUCAAUAACUACUUCUCUUUCGGUGUCGACGCCCACAUUGCCCUCGAGUUCCAUGAGGCCAGAGAGGCCAACCCUCAGAAGUUCAACUCUCGGUUAAGGAACAAGAUGUUCUAUGGUCAGGCUGGAGGCAAGGAUCUUUUACAACGCAAGUGGAAAGAUCUUUCAGACAACUGCACGCUGGAGUGUGAUGGCAAGGACAUGACACCCAUCUUGAAGGAGAAUAAGGUCCAUGCUGUCGUCUUCCUCAACAUUCCUAGCUAUGGAUCAGGUACCCAUCCAUGGAACCGGAGCAGUGGAGUAGAGCAGCAUACAGAUGAUGGUAUCAUUGAAGUCAUUGGGCUCACCACGUACCAGAUGCCACUGUUACAGGCUGGUGGUCAUGGAACAACAAUCUGCCAGUGCAAGAGGGCGAGGAUCAUCACCAAGAAGACUAUUCCCAUGCAGGUAGAUGGAGAGGCAGCGAGGGUCAACCCAAGCAUCAUAGAGCUCACGCAUCUCAACAAGGCCUCAAUGGUGACCAAGAAGAAGGCUAAGUCUGUCCCGAUGCCACAUCUAGAACAGCUCCGCCUCCAGGUAUUGAGGAUCACCAUGUUUGACUAUGAGCAGCAUCAUUAUGACAAGGAGAAGCUGCGUAGUGCCUCCUCCCCGAUUGGCCUCAUCAUGAUAGAUCAAGAUGCAGAUCUCGAACAGGUCCGUAAACACGUCAACCGCAUGAUGGAAGAGACAGCACACAAGGGUCGCUCCACCAAGCCCCUGUCCGAGAGCUGGUGUUUCCUCGACUCAUGCACAGCAGAAAGAUUCUUCCGUAUAGAUCGAGCUCAGGAGCACCUCCACUAUGUGACGGACAUUUGCACUGAGGAUCUCUUCGUGCUGGACCCAGAGCUCAUUGAUCCCACCGCCAUCAGUGGCAUAAGAGGGGAUGUGAGCGUGGACAACGACAUUGACCAUAGCGAGAGGAUGGCCAUGGUAAGCGACAGUGACUCUGGAGUGGGCGGAACUGAUGCGGAGCAGCGAAACCCCACCCCCGCCCUCACCGCCAGCCAAGACUCCUCUGACACCGGGGAGGAGGAGGUGGAGGCGGCCCUGGAGGCCGGGGUACCCAGCUUGCAUGACCGUGUCUUUGGUCCAGAAUACUACCCUCCCAGCCACCUUCUUGAGAAGAACUCAGAUGGGAUCAUAAAGGCUGCCAAGCAAGGGGAUCUAAAGAUGCUAAAGGAUCUCCACUCACAAGGGUUUUCACUACUCUCAAUUGAUGCGCAUGGACAGACUGCCCUUCACUAUGGUGCACGCCAUGGGCACAAAGACAUUGUGCGUUAUCUAAUUGCAUCUGCCCCGCCUUCCAUCCUUGACAUGGUGGAUACAGAUAAGGGCCAGACAGCACUUCACCAGGCUGCGUACAACCGACGACGAACAGUUUGUUGUAUGCUGGUAGCAGCAGGUGCCUCCCUCACCAUCAGGGACCUACUGGGCAACACUCCCAGGGCUCUGGCCCAACGUGCAGAUGACCAGGAGUUGGCUGCCUAUCUGGAGAGUAAGUGCCAGCUUAUGGGUCUUGGUGCAUCCAUGCCAGAGGGAGAAGAUCAGUCAUCUCUUCCUUGCCACACAUCUUAUUCCCACUCGCUCAGGGGUGCACGUCACCACGCACUCGCUAAAAGGCUAAGAGUAGAAAGAUUAAUAUAGUACAGUACACAUAUUUUAUUUUAUUGCACUGUGUGAGGUAGUUCUUUUGUCCCUCACUAAAUUUUCAGAUUUUUACCAAGGCUAUAAGGCCUUUACAAGGCAAUAUAAGGCUCAUGUUGCACAUGAAUGGUAUUCAGGAAGCUGACUAAACUCACAUCAUACCAUACUACCUUUCCCUUAACUUGAAAGCCUAUGCUAUAAUGUACAGUAGUUGUUGCUCUAGAAAGCAUUUUUGCUAUGCUGUACAAAGGGGCAGAAAACACAAAUUUUGGUAGGAAGUGUGUUGUAAGUUGACUUGAGUUUCUCCUGACUUCUGGCCACAGCCUCAGUCACGUGCACCGUCCUCGUGGAGGGAGUCCUUUGAACCACACGAGCUUGGACCAUUUUUGUUAAGGACAAGAGGCCUUUCUUAGUUUAUAAAUACUGCUUUUAGGCAAACUGUUGAGUGUUGUCUUCCAUAAGUGCCCCCAAAUCUUAUGUUACUUGAUGGAGAUCAUUUAUCAGAGUAGAAAAAUUGGUGUGAAUGGAGCGUUUAAGUUAUUGGUAAUUUGGGUAACCCUUUACCAAAGGUUAAUUUGAUAUCCCGUGAAAACAGAUGUGCAUGCUUGUUUUAUAACCCUGCCUGAGUACUAUUGGAAUGCCAACUUAGCCUUCUGAUAAAUGCAACUAACAUAAGAAUAUGAAUUAAAUAAUAUUCUUAAAAGUAACAGGGUGAUAGCCUUUAUGAGACGGGGCUCUCAGAAUUUCUUGAAUUUUACCCAUUUUGUUAGAUGUGUAAUUAUAACAUUAGAUUUUUGGUGUUAUAUAAUAGGAAGUGAUGACAGAAGGGAAGAAUACUUCUCACUUUGACUUGUGAUUAAGAUUUUGAUUUUAUUAUGAACACAAAAGUUUAACCCAUACUUCUUUUCAUAUGUUGAUUUGACAGGAAAGUGGACUUCCAUGUUGUCUUCUUAGUCUUCAGUAUACAGUAUUUGAAUAAUUUUUUUUUUUUACAUUUUUUUGUGGUUUCCAUUCUUUAUUGCUUUUUCAGGCCAAGAGAAAUUCUCUCAACCCAACAAUAGUAAUCUCAAUUACGUUGACUAAACUGCGAACAAAAAAAUAUACUUCCUUAGGUAACGGUGGGUGGCUCCUGUUAUGGCAGGUCCCAGGUUCUUGUUUAUGUAAGAAUGUAGCGAUGCAGUUUAGAUAUAUUGUCAAUGAAUCACAUUUUGCACCACUGCUUUGCCAAUUUAGUUACACAUAAAGUAAUUAAUUAUGUAGAGGUAAAUCUUGUAGCCAUAAAAAAGUGAACUCAUGCACACCCACCCAGUGAUUAAAAGUUGUUUGUAUAAAAAGUAUAUAUUAAUCUUUUUGUAAUUAAUAGUUUUGGUGGCAUUAGAAAGAAGGUUCUUGUAUUUGCCAUUGAUGAAUAUUUAAUUUCUAUCAAAGUAGCCUACCAAGGGUGAAAGGCUACAUACUGAUGGAAAAUGUGCCGUGACAGGUGAUGAGGGCCUUUAGGUGAGAAUUAUAUUGGGCUGAGCUGAUUGUUGCUUUACCUCAAUACUCUUUAUUAUUCUCAGUGAAGGUGUAUUGAAGGUCAACUGAUAUCUGAUCACGGUACAGGAAUUUUUUAUGCAAGAUAAUGUUUUGGAUGGCAAUCACUUAUUUCCAGCAGUAUUUUUGCAGUCAUGAUAUUUAUAAAUUUAAAUCAACUUCCCCUUGAAUGAAAUACCUAUCCAAAACAUAUGACAGUAUUGUGUAGAUAGUGUGCCAACAGAGUGGAUUACACAUCACCUCGCUGUUUCUUGCACGCUCUAUGCCAAGGAUUCUGCUCUGGCUCUGUUCUGCCAGGAGCAGUUUCAGACCAUGGUUCAUGAGGACUUGGAGACAACCGUAUGAUUGAGGCUGUACCUCGGCCAAGGAUCAUGGAAACCCAUCCUCUGGCUGAGCUUGGCAACCUUCAGAGUGGAUGAUCUCUUCUUACAUAAACUUAUCAUCUCUUGACACAUUAUUGAAUUUUUUCUUGUGUUUUAUAUGAAUCAACAUAGAGGGAUGAGAGGAUGAUUUUCAUCUCUAGUCAGUUUUAGUAAUUCCAUCUCAAGUUUGUCAAGCCUCCAUACAAAACAAGAAACAGCUGCGGAAUCUGACUGAUACAUGUGAGUUGUCAGAAUGCUGUAUUAAAACAUACAGUAAAGUUUUAUGGUCUGAAAGAUGAAGAAAACCAAGACUGCUCUGCUGCUGGUCUUCCACUGUGAACAACUUUUGGACAGUGAACAGAUGUAGACAUGGUUGCCAACCUAAGUCAUUCCAGUCAAAUAUAAGAUAUUUAAUGUGUCUGUGUAAUUCAUGUGUAGGUUUUUUGAAACCCCUUUAAUCUUUAGUAUUUAAAUACCCAUAACCUGCAUACAGUAAAGUCCCCUGAUAAGCUUAGUGUCCCACUGUGCUUCAAUCAUAUGCUAUAUAAAUAUAUAUAUAUAAAAAUAAUUUUUUUUAAGGAUAAUAUAUCUAUUUAAAUUUCAAUCAAUUAAGUGUACUUUAAUAUUGUUGUUUUCCCACAGUUACUUUUCUUGUAUGGCAUCCGUAGAUAGGUAUGUGCAGUUUGGACAUAUCAGUAUUGUAGUCAUUGUAGCUUCUUGUUUCAUCAACACUAUUGGUUUCCUAAGAUCUGCUCAUGUGAGGCAGUUAAAAGUAUUGACUUGUAUGUUGAAGGUAACACAGAGUGAGCUGUGAGAGACUGAUGGAAAGCUAGGAAUUUUUUUCUGGAUGAUAGGCUAUAUUAAUAAGGUAUACUUGCUCUGUUAUGGAAUAUACCUAUGAACUUUAAAUAGGUCAAAGUUUAGUACUAAAAGAUGAAGUUAUUUAGGAAUAUAUAGUGUUAUUUGAUACCAGCACGAUAUGCUAGCCUGAACUGCUUGGUGGCGUUGUACGAUGUCUCCCCCCUAUGUGCCAGGCAUGAGACUAGCAUCCGAGUAGUCAUGUCAUGAAGGAGAGUCAUUAAUGUAUUGCUCGUCCUGGUGCAGUUUCAGGGUUUGACUCUGGGCCGCCCAAAUACCGUACUACAUGUUAUUUUUACAAUUGGUUUGAAUUCCAAUGGUUUAAAGGAUAUCAGGCAAAGUAUCAAAAUGUUUAACGUAUUUCUUCAUUCUGAGUUUGAGUGUGUUUAAAAAAAUGACAAGUAUUGAGAAGUGUUCUGUGUGAAAAUAUCUUUCAUGCACAGUGUCUGGGCUUCCCAUAGUCACAUCCAUGUUGGGUAUGCACAUGAAAUUGCACAAGAAGCUUGAGCAAGUAGAUAUCUCUAUCUUAUGAUAAAUAUGCUGGUAAAGAUAGGUAAUAUUUAGUUAAUUUGAUUUGAUUACCUUUAUGCACUAGUGUUAAAGUAUAAUCAAGAGCCAUUGUUUACAGAUGCCAAUUAGAACUAUGAGUAGACCAUAGCGUGUAGAAUAUAUGUGCAAUCUGUCAACAGUCGCUCCUAUUGAAAAUGCGGGGAAUAGUGCAUAGGGGUCAAAUCACGUAUUCUUGCUUGUACAACAUUUCAUUUAUGUGGUAGUCGCAUAACCUAGUUAGAAAGUUAAACAGUAAAUUGUACUCAGAAUAUGUUUUCAUGGAAGAAGGUACAUGCAAGAUGUCAUAAAAUAACUUCAUCUUUUCACUUCAAACUCAAAUUGAUAAUUGAAAAUAUACCUGGAAAGUGGUUUUAGAAAGCCAAGGUUAGACUCAACAAAGUGAAAGAUCAAGAGGACUGAAUGAUUUGUAAGUGGAUGUGUCCACUUACAAACAGGUAGUUGAUGAAUAGGUCUUAAAAUUACUUAACUUCUUUAUUUUCUUCUUUAAAGUCUGCCUAUUACAUUCCGGAAUCAAAUUGUUUCUCAAGAUGAUGUGUUACCUUAUUUCCUUGUUCUCUAAAUUUGUUCCUUACUAAAUCUGUGAUCUACCAAGUGCUGAGAAGUUCUCUUCCACAUGUCAUUACUGAAUAAACUUUUAGUCUUA